GCGUCGGUGGUUCAGUGGUAGAAUACUCGCCUGCCACGCGGGUGGCCCGGGUUCAAUUCCCGGCCGACGCA
rnacentral:tRNA from 3 species